UUGGAGGGCAGUCUGGUGCCAGCAGCCGCGGUAAUUCCAGCUCCAAUAGCGUAUAUUAAAGUUGUUGCAGUUAAAAAGCUCGUAGUUGAAUUUCGGGAUUCAUCCGUUGGUCGGGCUUCACGGUCCGUACUGGUGUGAUGGGUUCCUACCUUCUGAAUAACCGGCAUGCCAUUAAUUUGGUGCGCCGGGGAAGCAGAACUAUUACCUUGAAAAAAUUAGAGUGCUUAAAGCAGGCAAGUGCCUGAAUAGGUUAGCAUGGAAUAAUAAAAUAGGACGGCAUGGUUCUAUUUUGUUGGUUUCUAGGAAUAGUUGGGGGCAUUAGUAUUUAAUUGUCAGAGGUGAAAUUCUUGGAUUUAUUGAAGACUAACUUCUGCGAAAGCAUUUGCCAAGGAUGUUUUCAUUAAUCAAGAACGAAAGUUAGGGGAUCGAAGACGAUCAGAUACCGUCGUAGUCUUAACCAUAAACUAUGCCGACUAGGGAUCGGACGAUGUUAAUUUUUUAAUGACUCGUUCGGCGCCUUACGGGAAAC
rnacentral:rRNA from 1 species